UGGGGAAUAUUGCACAAUGGGGGAAACCCUGAUGUAGCGACGCCGCGUGAACGAAGAAGGUAUUCGUAUCGUAAAGUUCUGUCCUAUGGGAAGAUAAUGACAGUACCAUAGAAGAAAGCUCCGGCUAAAUACGUGCCAGCAGCCGCGGUAAUACGUAUGGAGCGAGCGUUGUCCGGAAUUAUUGGGCGUAAAGGGUACGCAGGCGGUUUAAUAAGUCGAAUGUUAAAGAUCGGGGCUCAACCCCGCAAAGCAUUGGAAACUGAUAAACUUGAGUAGUGGAGAGGAAAGUGGAAUUCCUAGUGUAGUGGUGAAAUACGUAGAUAUUAGGAGGAAUACCAGUAGCGAAGGCGACUUUCUGGACACAAACUGACGCUGAGGUACGAAAGCGUGGGGAGCAAACAGG
rnacentral:rRNA from 1 species